UACAGAGGAGCCAAGCGUUAUCCGGAAUGAUUGGGCGUAAAGCGUCCGCAGGUGGCUGUGUAAGUCUGCUGUUAAAUAGUGAGGCUCAACCUCAUAAAGGCAGUGGAAACUACACGGCUAGAGUGCGUUCGGGGCAGAGGGAAUUCCUGGUGUAGCGGUGAAAUGCGUAGAGAUCAGGAUGAACACCGGUGGCGAAAGCGCUCUGCUAGGCCGCAACUGACACUGAGGGACGAAAGCUAGG
rnacentral:rRNA from 1 species